rnacentral:rRNA from 1 species
UGAUGGCGGAGCUACCAUGCAGUCGUACGAGAAGGUUCUUUCGGGAACUGGAGAGUGGCGCACGGGUGAGUAACGCGUGGGGACCUACCUCUUAGUGGGGGAUAACGGUUGGAAACGACCGCUAAUACCGCAUACGCCCUUCGGGGGAAAGAUUUAUCGCUAAGAGAUGGACCCGCGUUGGAUUAGAUAGUUGGUGAGGUAACGGCUCACCAAGUCAGCGAUCCAUAGCUGGUUUGAGAGGAUGAUCAGCCACACUGGGACUGAGACACGGCCCAGACUCCUACGGGAGGCAGCAGUGGGGAAUAUUGGACAAUGGGCGCAAGCCUGAUCCAGCCAUGCCGCGUGAGUGAAGAAGGCCUUCGGGUUGUAAAGCUCUUUCAGAUGCGAAGAUGAUGACGGUAACAUCAGAAGAAGCCCCGGCUAAUUUCGUGCCAGCAGCCGCGGUAAUACGAAAGGGGCAAGCGUUGUUCGGAUUUACUGGGCGUAAAGGGCACGCAGGCGGUCCUGCCAGUCAGGGG